GCGGUGGAGCAUGUGGUUUAAUUCGAUGCAACGCGAAGAACCUUACCUGGCCUUGACAUACUAGAAACUUUCCAGAGAUGGAUUGGUGCCUUCGGGAAUCUAGAUACAGGUGCUGCAUGGCUGUCGUCAGCUCGUGUCGUGAGAUGUUGGGUUAAGUCCCGCAACGAGCGCAACCCUUUUCCUUACUUGCCAGCACUUCGGAUGGGAACUUUAAGGAUACUGCCAGUGACAAACUGGAGGAAGGCGGGGACGACGUCAAGUCAUCAUGGCCCUUACGGCCAGGGCUACACACGUGCUACAAUGGUCGGUACAAAGGGUUGCUACACAGCGAUGUGAUGCUAAUCUCAAAAAGCCGAUCGUAGUCCGGAUUGGAGUCUGCAACUCGACUCCAUGGAGUCGGAAUCGCUAGUAAUCGCGGAUCAGAAUGCCGCGGUGAAUACGUUCCCGGGCCUUGUACACACCGCCCGUCACACCAUGGGAGUUUGUUGCACCAGAAGUAGCUAGCCUAACUGCAAAGAGGGCGGUUACCACGGUGUGGCC
rnacentral:rRNA from 1 species